UACGUAGGGACCGAGCGUUGUCCGGAUUCAUUGGGCGUAAAGAGCUCGUAGGCGGCUGUUCAAGUCGAACGUGAAAACUCGGAGCUCAACUCCGAGCCUGCGUUCGAUACUGGACGGCUAGAGUCUGGUAGGGGGAUCGUGGAAUUCCUGGGUGUAGCGGUGGAAUGCGCAGAUAUCAGGAGGAACACCGGUGGCGAAGGCGGGAUCCUGGGCCAGUACUGACGCUGAGGCGCGAAAGCUAGGGGAGCGAACGGG
rnacentral:rRNA from 1 species